GACGAACGCUGGCGGCGUGCCUAAUACAUGCAAGUAGAACGCUGAAGGAGGAGCUUGCUUCUCCGGAUGAGUUGCGAACGGGUGAGUAACGCGUAGGUAACCUGCCUGGUAGCGGGGGAUAACUAUUGGAAACGAUAGCUAAUACCGCAUAAGAGUAGAUGUUGCAUGACAUUUGCUUAAAAGGUGCAAUUGCAUCACUACCAGAUGGACCUGCGUUGUAUUAGCUAGUUGGUGGGGUAACGGCUCACCAAGGCGACGAUACAUAGCCGACCUGAGAGGGUGAUCGGCCACACUGGGACUGAGACACGGCCCAGACUCCUACGGGAGGCAGCAGUAGGGAAUCUUCGGCAAUGGACGGAAGUCUGACCGAGCAACGCCGCGUGAGUGAAGAAGGUUUUCGGAUCGUAAAGCUCUGUUGUAAGAGAAGAACGAGUGUGAGAGUGGAAAGUUCACACUGUGACGGUAUCUUACCAGAAAGGGACGGCUAACUACGUGCCAGCAGCCGCGGUAAUACGUAGGUCCCGAGCGUUGUCCGGAUUUAUUGGGCGUAAAGCGAGCGCAGGCGGUUAGAUAAGUCUGAAGUUAAAGGCUGUGGCUUAACCAUAGUACGCUUUGGAAACUGCUUAACUUGAGUGCAAGAGGGGAGAGUGGAAUUCCAUGUGUAGCGGUGAAAUGCGUAGAUAUAUGGAGGAACACCGGUGGCGAAAGCGGCUCUCUGGCUUGUAACUGACGCUGAGGCUCGAAAGCGUGGGGAGCAAACAGG
rnacentral:rRNA from 1 species